UUGGGUUUAAUCCUCAAUAACAAUGGGAACGGUGGGUGGCACAAACUCUAUUUUUGCGUCCACGAUAAAAAAUAACAUACAUGCACUUCGACUAUUCCGAAAUUUUCUAAAAACAAAAGCCAAUAACUGGGCUCACACUAACAAUAAUUCUCUCAAUGAGACCACGUGCUAGGCAGCCCGUUCGUUUACGUCAUUUUGUUUACAUUUAACACAAGAGACGUAGCCAGCACUCUGAAUCAGAAGCUAAUUUUUCUAACUGCUAUACAGAUAACUGCUCAUAACUGCAAUAAUGUUCACAAUUGGAAUGACAGUUAAGUGGUAAAAAAAAUGCAUGUUAAUUCAGUUUGCACCCGGAGCAAAACUAUUGCAUACGCAUAUGGGCCAAGAAACAAAAAAGUUUGGCGCUUGGAGGAAAUUUCAAGAAUUCAACUGGAAACAGUCAAGCUUUGUGAAACCCCAAAUAAGAGUCGUAGCGUCAUGUCUAGUUCUCAGUACUGCGCAACCUGUUGAUUACCCGCCUUUUCCAUCGUGAGGACACACCUCACCUUAUUACAUUCACUUAGCAAAUACAACUCGCAUAAUAUUCACAAAGACUGAGCAACUUAAAAUACUUCCAAUUCAUCAUUUUGCAUGCUAUGGACACAACAUCAAAGCGAAAAGCAUUCUCCCAUACAUUUGCAAUUUAAUUUACAGCAAACUAGUGUGCAAAUAACGUUAUAACUGCACGUCGCAUGCCACUAAACGACGCAUCUGCGACUUGUAAACACAACAAACGUGCCUCGAUAACAUUGUCUUCGCAUCCCAACGUCUCUGGCUAUCUACACCCGUCUCGGAUGACUCCUAUGGGGGUGACUUCGCAAGGAUCUCCCUCCCUGACUCUGGAGCAACCCCUCCCACCAACACCAUGCUCUGCAACCUACACCUGAGAGCUCUGCAAGCUUUACUAGCAGAAAGCCAGGUGGCCCGGUACUGUAACCCAACCUGCCAGAGCUCAAUCAAACACUGUUACCAAAAAAGGAAGACCAACUCAAAGGUCCCCCCACCUCCCUCCACACAUACAGAAGAACGUUCUACUUCCUCUUGCUGUUGUCAUGGUGACAGUUGUGCUGGAAAUCCUCUUCAGUGAUAUGACUGACUGAUCAUGAGAUAAACCACUAAUACCUUCCUUUUAAAAAAAAAAACAAAAUAGUAGAUAUGAGGUCAUUGCGCUAAUGAGAAAUGUGCAAUUCUAGACACACAUUUCACAGAAAAAUGGUAAGGAAAUUUUAUUUUAACAGCAAAAUCAGUUUUUAGGAAGGUUGUAACUUAAAGCAAUUCUAAAAUAAACCAGUAAAAAAAAAAAAAAAAAA